CAACUCGCCUGCAUGAAGCUGGAAUUGCUAGUAAUCGCGGAUCAGCAAGCCGCGGUGAAUACGUUCCCGGGUCUUGUACACACCGCCCGUCACACCAUGGGAGCCGGAAAUGCCCGAAGCCAGUGACCCAACCUUAGGGAGGGAGCUGUCGAAGGUGGAGCCGGUAACUGGGGUGAAGUCGUAACAAGGUAAC
rnacentral:rRNA from 1 species